rnacentral:tRNA from 1 species
GGCCUCGUAGAACAGUGGUUAGUUCACCGGCCUUUCACGCCGGCUACACGGGUUCGAACCCCGUCGAGGUCA